UCGUUUCAAUUUUUUUUUUUUUUUUAAAAAAAAAAUUUCAAAAAAAAAAAAAAAAAAAAGAAAAAAAAAGCGAGUAUGACCCUGACAGCAAUUCUACAUCGGGUAUCGAUCAACAGCAAAAA